rnacentral:rRNA from 1 species
UACGUAGGGGGCAAGCGUUGUCCGGAAUCAUUGGGCGUAAAGAGCGCGUAGGCGGCCCGGUAAGUCCGCUGUGAAAGUCAAGGGCUUAACCCUUGAAUGCCGGUGGAAACUGCCGGGCUAGAGUCCGGAAGAGGCGAGUGGAAAUUCCUGGUGUAGCGGUGAAAUGCGCAGAUAUCAGGAAGAACACCCGUGGCGAAGGCGGCUCUCUGGGACGGUACUGACGCUGAGACGCGAAAGCGUGGGGAGCGAACAGG